rnacentral:misc_RNA from 1 species
GGCUUUUUUUUUUAAUAGCUCUUCUUUUUUGUAUUUGUUAUUUUUUUUCAUAUUUUAUAAAUAUCUAUCGAAGUAAAGUUUAAAAGGUACGAGUGCAGUAGAUCUUCAAAAGUGUCGAAGAGCCAAGAGACGAGGUGCUUGAUCUUAGAAGACCCAAAUGCAAGAAACCGCUUGGACAAAGUUGCUUGGCUUCGGCAACUUUGAGGAAGAAACUUUAGGAAUGCUGGAAAAUUGAUCACGCGUUAGCUCGUGUAUAGUGCUGGAACGUCUGUGGUGGCGCAUGGUGACUGACGGCUAGGAUUUCGGUGCUGAAAUUAUUAGAUUUUUUUUUCUUAUUAACUUUGUUCUUAUUAAAAUUUUUCUUGAAUUCUUUUUAUAGAAUGGAAAGAAUUAAUUUAUUGGAUGACAAUUAAUUUUAAUUAAAUGAAAAUAUAAGUGAGGGACUAAUUGUUUGAUUUUUAAAAUAUAGGGAUCAAAUCAUAAUAUCGGUCAAACUCAAAGAGCUAAGUAGUAAAUUUUUCUUAAUUGAAUAAAGGGUAUAUUUGUCUUUUCACGUAAAUUAACGACAAUAUUGGAUGUAAGGACCUUUGAUUUUGACGAAACAUAAGUGAGGGGCUAAAUUGUUCAAUUUUCAAAAUGCAGGAACCAAUUUAUAAUAUCGGUCAAAAUCCAAAGACCAAAGAGUAAAUUUUCCUAUAUUCUUUUCUAUUAAGAAGCAACUGACUUAAAAAAACAUUAAAAGAAGAAAACUAUUGAGAUUGAAAUCCAACUAAAACAAAAAAUUCCCAAAUUGAACACUGUUGAAUGCGCACGGGAUUUUAAAUAAAAAAAAAAUGGAAAUGGUGUAACAAAAUCAACAAUAAAGCAAGGAUUGAAACACCGUUGAAUGCGCACAGGAUUUUAAAUAAAAAAAAAAUGGAAAUGGUGUAACAAAAUCAACAAUAAAGCAAGGAUUGAAACACCGUUGAAUGCGCACA